rnacentral:rRNA from 1 species
GACCUGCGGAGGGAUCAUUACACAAAUAUGAAGGCGGGCUGGAACCUCUCGGGGUUACAGCCUUGCUGAAUUAUUCACCCUUGUCUUUUGCGUACUUCUUGUUUCCUUGGUGGGUUCGCCCACCACUAGGACAAACAUAAACCUUUUGUAAUUGCAAUCAGCGUCAGUAACAAAUUAAUAAUUACAACUUUCAACAACGGAUCUCUUGGUUCUGGCAUCGAUGAAGAACGCAGCGAAAUGCGAUAAGUAGUGUGAAUUGCAGAAUUCAGUGAAUCAUCGAAUCUUUGAACGCACAUUGCGCCCUUUGGUAUUCCAAAGGGCAUGCCUGUUCGAGCGUCAUUUGUACCCUCAAGCUUUGCUUGGUGUUGGGCGUCUUGUCUCUAGCUUUGCUGGAGACUCGCCUUAAAGUAAUUGGCAGCCGGCCUACUGGUUUCGGAGCGCAGCACAAGUCGCACUCUCUAUCAGCAAAGGUCUAGCAUCCAUUAAGCCUUUUUUUCAACUUUUGACCUCGGAUCAGGUAGGGAUACCCGCUGAACUUAAGCAUAUCAAA